UACGAAGGGGGCUAGCGUUGUUCGGAUUUACUGGGCGUAAAGCACACGUAGGCGGAUCGUUAAGUCGGGGGUGAAAUCCUGGAGCUCAACUCCAGAACUGCCUUCGAUACUGGCGAUCUUGAGUCCGGAAGAGGUGAGUGGAACUCCUAGUGUAGAGGUGGAAUUCGUAGAUAUUAGGAAGAACACCAGUGGCGAAGGCGGCUCACUGGUCCGGUACUGACGCUGAGGUGCGAAAGCGUGGGGAGCAAACAGG
rnacentral:rRNA from 1 species